rnacentral:misc_RNA from 1 species
CCUCAUGGCCUGAAGCUUCUGAUCGAGGACUAUCCAUAUGCUCAAGAUGGGCUUCUAAUCUGGUCUGCAAUAGAGAACUGGGUCCGCAGCUAUGUGAACCGGUAUUACCCAAAUUCAAGUCUAAUUUGUAAUGACAAAGAGCUGCAAGAUUGGUAUGCCGAGUCCAUCAAUGUGGGCCAUGCUGAUUUCAAACAUGCAGAAUGGUGGCCCACAUUAAACAAUGUUGAUAAUCUUGUUUCAAUCCUCACCACCAUCAUU